UGGGGAAUAUUGCACAAUGGGCGCAAGCCUGAUGCAGCCAUGCCGCGUGUGUGAAGAAGGCCUUCGGGUUGUAAAGCACUUUCAGCGAGGAGGAAGGGUUCAGUGUUAAUAGCACUGUUCAUUGACGUUACUCGCAGAAGAAGCACCGGCUAACUCCGUGCCAGCAGCCGCGGUAAUACGGAGGGUGCAAGCGUUAAUCGGAAUUACUGGGCGUAAAGCGCACGCAGGCGGUUUGUUAAGUCAGAUGUGAAAUCCCCGCGCUUAACGUGGGAACUGCAUUUGAAACUGGCAAGCUAGAGUCUUGUAGAGGGGGGUAGAAUUCCAGGUGUAGCGGUGAAAUGCGUAGAGAUCUGGAGGAAUACCGGUGGCGAAGGCGGCCCCCUGGACAAAGACUGACGCUCAGGUGCGAAAGCGU
rnacentral:rRNA from 1 species